GGUUAUACUUUGCUGAAUAUACCGGUUCUCCUUCGAUCACCGAAGUCAAGAUCAAUGGGACGCAAAUAGUACUUGGUAAGGUGACCACCUUGGAACACCAUGCGU